rnacentral:rRNA from 1 species
AUACGGAGGGUGCAAGCGUUACUCGGAAUCACUGGGCGUAAAGCGCGCGUAGGCGGCUUAUUAAGUCAGAUGUGAAAUCCCCGGGCUCAACCUGGGAACUGCAUCUGAUACUGGGUAGCUAGAGUUUUGGAGAGGGAAGUAGAAUUUCAUGUGUAGCGGUGAAAUGCAUAGAGAUCUGAAGGAAUACCAGUGGCGAAGGCGACUUCCUGGCCAAAAACUGACGCUGAGGUGCGAAAGCGUGGGUAGCAAACGGGAUUAGAAACCCCAGUAGUCC